CAUUAUUGUAGCCUCUAUUUUAUAAUCUCUAUUGAUGUAUUGUGUAGAAGAAAGAAAAUGAGGAUGGUAAAACAUCUAGAAUCGAUGCUUUUCAGAGAGCCCAUACCAAGAAGAAUGGUGAACUUGUAAACCCAACGGCAUCUGAUAUUUUUGGUUCAUUGAAUGAGAUUCUCCUUGAAGACCCAAAAUCUGGAACUACAGACAACGCUGAUGAGGAUGCCUUGACAAAAUUGUUUGGUAACCCAAAAUCUGGUCGUUUAAUCGGACAAGGAAGAGGCGUAACAAGGUCAAAGCUAACUGUUGUUAAUAUGUGUAAUAGCAAGAUCUCCAUGUUAGAAGAAGAGCAACAUAAUAUGAAGCUCAAAAUGACUGAAAUGAUGAAUCUACUUAAAGAACACUUGGUUGGUGGUAAAGUGAUACCAAGCGAAGGAUAGUCUCGCAAUGUACCGC